rnacentral:rRNA from 1 species
AUUGAACGCUGGCGGCAUGCUUUACACAUGCAAGUCGAACGGUAACAGGCCGCAAGGUGCUGACGAGUGGCGAACGGGUGAGUAAUGCAUCGGAACGUGCCCAGUCGUGGGGGAUAACUACUCGAAAGAGUAGCUAAUACCGCAUACGAUCUAAGGAUGAAAGCGGGGGACCGUAAGGCCUCGCGCGAUUGGAGCGGCCGAUGUCAGAUUAGGUAGUUGGUGGGGUAAAGGCUCACCAAGCCAACGAUCUGUAGCUGGUCUGAGAGGACGACCAGCCACACUGGGACUGAGACACGGCCCAGACUCCUACGGGAGGCAGCAGUGGGGAAUUUUGGACAAUGGGCGCAAGCCUGAUCCAGCAAUGCCGCGUGCAGGAAGAGGGCCUUCGGGUUGUAAACUGCUUUUGUACGGAACGAAACGGCUCUGGUUAAUACCCGGGGCUAAUGACGGUACCGUAAGAAUAAGCACCGGCUAACUACGUG